UUUUUUUGCUGUAUUUUAUUUACAUCUAUUCGAAUGAAGGAGUAUACACACCAAAAAGUUAAGAUUGAAACUAAUAAAACCAAGUUUUAAAAAAGCGUAUUCAGGUUGUGUAUAGCUAGUGUGUUUUUGUAAAGUAACUAAGUAAAGUAAUUAGUAAAGUAACUAAUUACUUUUGAAAAUAAGUAAUCAGUAAAGUAACUAGAUUACUUUCUUGGAUAAGUAAUCAGUAACUAAUUACUUUUUCCAAGUAACUUGACCAACACUGUUUAUAAUAGACUAAAUAGAAUUGAACAGAAUAAUAACCAUAAACUAUACAAAUUGAGAUUCUGUAAGGAGAAUUCAUUUGUUAAAUCCAAUGUAAACAGAUGAGUCUUGUGACACUUUUUGAAGACCCCAAAACUAUCAUAUAGUUUCAUAUCAUAUGUGUAUGGUAUAUGUGCUGAAUUACAAGCCGCAAACACAGUUUGACCAGAUAAGUUGUCAUGUACCCUCCUUGAAAUCUCCCAAGAUAUCACCAGACAUAAAAACCACCUCUAUAAGGCCAGCACAUGACAAGUGAGUUUUUGCCCAAAUUGUUUGGGUUGUUUUGCACCUCCCCCCAGUGGUAAAAUGAUGCAUUUUUUGAGGAAGGUCUUAACUCCAUACACCAUGUUUAGCGUCAAUGCAUAAAUGUUUGGUAACUUUGAUGCUCAUUUUUAUUGCCUAUAACAGGCACAUAUUUUCUUUUUUUCAAACUUGUGAAGCUUGGUGUGAAGAUCAACUCUAGCAAAUUGGAUAAAGUGGACAAAAAAUGUUUGAGUAUUGAACACUAUACUCACAUUAAAAAGUAAAUGGAAGCUCAAGAUAAUGGAAGCCUCCAACUCCCAAGAAAUUAGAACAUACUAUAACUGUUUAUGUUUGGGUGGUUUAAUUCAGUCAUCUAUGGUUCUGCAGCCUUAUUAAAGACAUCAUUCAACUGUGCAAGUCCUUGGCCAGUUUAUUCAAAAGUGUUGGUCUUGGAAAUAAUAUGUCCUUAGACUUGCAACUGCCAACUACGAACCCUUGGCAACUCUAAACAAUUCUUAAAGUAAUUCUAAACAAUAAAUUCUAAGCAAUGUGUUAGAUUUUGGUACAUUCAUUUAAGGUUUUGCUAAAUUAUACUGUUUUGACAAAUUAUUUGACAGUUACCUCUUGUGCACCCUUUAAGGCAAGAGCCUGGAUCAUGUUCAAAUCAGGCAGUGCUGUCAAGUGCCUAGGCCACGAAAAAAGUAAGCCUGAAAUAAUAAUAACAAAAAAAACAGAAUAGAGUCUUAAACUCAUAUUAGUAUAGCAACAUCAUCAAGGUAUUGUAUGUCAAAAUGUGCUGUCCCAUUAUUUAUACCAUUUUAAGCCCUUGUGGCCUCUUUUAGACAGUUGAAAGAUGCUAUAUGCAUUUAGCGCCAUGUACUGCAUAGCGGUGUAACAUAUGACCGCCGCUCAGUCCUGCACAUUCUCUCCGCAAAAAUAAAUCAUGCUUGUCAAUUU